rnacentral:rRNA from 1 species
GGUGAAAUUCUUGGAUCGUCGCAAGACGCACUAGAGCGAAAGCAUUUGCCAAGUAUGUCUUAAUUGAUCAAGAACGAAAGUUAGAGGUUCGAAGGCGAUCAGAUACCGCCCUAGUUCUAACCAUAAACGAUGCCAGCCAGCGAUCCGCCGACGUUCCUCCGAUGACUCGGCGGGGAGCUUUCCCCGGGAAACCAAAAGCUUUUGGGUUCCGGGGGAAGUAUGGUUGCAAAGCUGAAACUUAAAGGAAUUGACGGAAGGGCACCACCAGGAGUGGAGCCUGCGGCUUAAUUUGACUCAACACGGGAAACCUCACCAGGCCCGGACAUUGGAAGGAUUGACAGAUCGAUAGCUCUUUCUCGAUUCAGUGGGUAGUGGUGCAUGGCCGUUCUUAGUUGGUGGACUGAUUUGUCUGGUUUAUUCCGAUAACGAACGAGACUCUAACCUAUUAACUAGGCGUUGCCGGUAUAAACAGCUACCGGCGAGAUUUAUUCUUCUUAAGG